UGGCUCAGAUGGUGGAGCAUGAGACUUUCGAUCUUAGGUGUGUGAGUUCAAGCCCCAC
rnacentral:tRNA from 1 species